rfam:Zea mays cultivar B73 chromosome 1, whole genome shotgun sequence.
GGAGAAAUGGCCGAGCGGUUCAAGGCGUAGCAUUGGAACUGCUAUGUAGACUUUUGUUUACCGAGGGUUUGAAUCCCUCUCUUUCCG